AAUGAACGCUGGCGGCAGGCCUAACACAUGCAAGUCGAGCGAGCGGCGGACGGGUGAGUAAUGUGUGGGAAACUGCCUGAUGGAGGGGGAUAACUUUUGGAAACGGUAGCUUAUACCGCAUACUAUCAGAUGUGCCCAGUGGGGAUUAGCUAGUAGGUGGGGUAAUGGCUGACCUAGGCGACGAUCCCUAGCGGGGCUGAGAGGAUGACCAGCCACACGGGAACUGAGACACGGUCCAGACGCCUACGGGAGGCAGCAGUGGGGAAUAUUGCACAAUGGGCGCAAGCCUGAUGCAGCCAUGCCGCGUGUAUGAAGAAGGCCUUCGGGUUGUAAAGUACUUUCAGCGGGGAGGCGGUACCCACAGAAGAAGCAACGGCUAACUCCGUGCCAGCAGCCGCGGUAAUAC
rnacentral:rRNA from 1 species